rnacentral:tRNA from 1 species
GGGCCCGUUGCCUAGCCUGGAUAGGGCACCAGCCUCCUAAGUUGGUCUUCGUGAGUUCAAAUCUCACCGGGCCCGCCA